rnacentral:rRNA from 1 species
CCUACGGGAGGCAGCAGUGAGGAAUAUUGGACAAUGGGCGCAAGCCUGAUCCAGCCAUGCCGCGUGCAGGAUGACGGUCCUAUGGAUUGUAAACUGCUUUUAUACGGGAAGAAACCCUGGCUCGUGAGCCAGAUUGACGGUACCGUAAGAAUAAGGAUCGGCUAACUCCGUGCCAGCAGCCGCGGUAAUACGGAGGAUCCAAGCGUUAUCCGGAAUCAUUGGGUUUAAAGGGUCCGUAGGCGGUUUAAUAAGUCAGUGGUGAAAGCCCAUCGCUCAACGGUGGAACGGCCAUUGAUACUGUUAGACUUGAAUUAUUAGGAAGUAACUAGAAUAUGUAGUGUAGCGGUGAAAUGCUUAGAGAUUACAUGGAAUACCAAUUGCGAAGGCAGGUUACUACUAAUUGAUUGACGCUGAUGGACGAAAGCGUGGGUAGCGAACAGGAUUAGAUACCCUGGUAGUCCACGCCGUAAACGAUGGAUACUAGCUGUUGGGAGUAAUCUCAGUGNGUAGACGAAGUAGAGUAAGUAUACCACCGUCGGGUAGGUACGUUACGUCGAAGAAGUAGAACGUACAAAUAGAAGUUAGUACGGACGUGAGACGUAGCCGAACGGACGACGACGAGGGAGGAGG